CUCGUAGGUGGCCAACUAAGUCAGACGUGAGAUCCCUCGGCUUAACCGGGGAACUGCGUCUGAUACUGGAUGGCUUGAGUUUGGGAGAGGGACGCGGAAUUCCAGGUGUAGCGGUGAAAUGCGUAGAUAUCUGGAGGAACACCGGUGGCGAAGGCGGCGUCCUGGACCAACACUGACACUGAUGAGCGAAAGCCAGGGAGCAAACG
rnacentral:rRNA from 1 species